ensembl:lncRNA novel transcript
AAGCCCCUUCCAACUCAUGGAUGCAGCGAUUCCCCAGGAAGUGGGUUAGCAGAAGUCAGCAAGGGCAGGGGGGCUUACCCCGGCCUCCAGGUCGAAAGGGCGCCUCCGGGAAUGCAGCUGGGGAGAAAGUCUUCUUCCAACCACACCGAAGUGACACCAGCUACCUGAAACUCAAAGCGAAAGUGGACCAGGGAGCAUUCCUGACCUCGAUGCACCUCAUAGAGUCUGAAUUAAAACACCAAGAUCGCC